GACGUAGGGCGCGAGCGUUGUCCGGAUUUAUUGGGCGUAAAGAGCUCGUAGGCGGCUUGUCGCGUCGUCCGUGAAAACCUGCAGCUCAACUGCAGGCUUGCGGUCGAUACGGGCAGGCUAGAGUUCGGUAGGGGAGACUGGAAUUCCUGGUGUAGCGGUGAAAUGCGCAGAUAUCAGGAGGAACACCGGUGGCGAAGGCGGGUCUCUGGGCCGAUACUGACGCUGAGGCGCGAAGGCCAGGGGAGCAAACGGG
rnacentral:rRNA from 1 species